rnacentral:lncRNA from 1 species
AAAAUAUAACCUUACCUUUGAUUGCUUCACACUAUAUACAAUAAAUUCAAAAAAAUGGUACGAGUACUUGUAUUUGUUUUUGCAAAGUUUAUGAUUAGAAAAUAAAUAUCAUUAUCUUUCCUUAACUAGGCAAAAUGAACUCAAAGAUUUAGAUAAAAUGAUUUUGUUUACUGAAAUUUCUUAUCUUCAGUUACUUGGCAGAGAUCAACCUCUCAGUGGCUUUCAGUUCUUUAGUCGAGUCGCAAUGGACGCACGGAAAUUUUCCACCCAUGUACUGGAUACCUCUGUUGGAAAGGCGGCCGCAAGUGUUAGGGUCACAGUUUCUGUUCUAGACGAGAUCCAAGAGUGGAGAUCCCUCCGAGCGCUCCAAACCAAUGCGGACGGUCGUUGUCAACUUUUGGAGGCCGGCGAGUUUCCCAGCGGAGUCUAUAAGCUAACAUUUAAUGUGGGAGCGUACUUCGCAGAGCGCAAUGUGAACACCUUGUACCCAGCUAUAGAUAUAAUGGUGGACUGUAGUGAAAAUAAGAAUUAUCAUAUUCCUCUGCUCCUUAACCCCUUUGGAUACUCCACAUACCGUGGCACAUAGAUCUAUAAAAAUACAUAAUCCAUUUUUGGAAUAAGCUCGAAGGAAAUAGAAAAAUGUAAUACAAUUUUUCGAAAGAGAAUGUAUUUUUAUUUUAAUCAGUCUAGAGUUUUGUAACGGAAAAUAUUUUGAAAUGUGCCUAGACACUACUAAUGAUCAGUACCCACCCGGUUUGUAUAAUCUUAUUUGCAGUUUUGUAUGCUGUAUGAUUAGUAUAAUUUCUGAAACUUAUUCUGAAGCCUUUUCUGAAACUGUGUGCGCUUUCUUUUCUGUUUAUGCUUAUCAGCUGGAUGGUCCAACACAUAUGUACAUAGAUAUUUGUUUGUAUUAUAUAAAUAUAAGUUAUCUUCCAUCAUAAAUAUUUAAUUCGCUUUGUGGAAAUUCAUUU